AGAUUCAGAGUGUCUUCACGUCGACUGUUCUCACCAUUGUAAUGCCUCUCAAACCUUUUUUUGUUCACUUGGAUUCUGCCAUUGUGGAGAAACAACAACUACAACAAUGACGACAACAACUGAAGCACCGACAACAACAACAACAAC